UACGUAGGUGGCGAGCGUUGUCCGGAUUUACUGGGCGUAAAGAGCGCGCAGGCGGUCGUUCAAGUCGCGUGUGAAAGCCCCCGGCUCAACUGGGGAGGGUCACGCGAUACUGAUCGACUCGAAGGCAGGAGAGGGUAGUGGAAUUCCCGGUGUAGUGGUGAAAUGCGUAGAUAUCGGGAGGAACACCAGUGGCGAAGGCGGGUCUCUGGGCAAUUCCUGACGCUGAGGCGCGAAAGCGUGGGGAGCAAACGGG
rnacentral:rRNA from 1 species